rnacentral:rRNA from 1 species
CAAAACGACUCUCGGCAACGGAUAUCUCGGCUCUUGCAUCGGUGAAGAACGUAGCGAAAUGCGAUACGUGGUGUGAAUUGCAGAAUCCCGUGAACCAUCGAGUUUUUGGACGCAAGUUGCGCCCAAAGCCUUUUGGUUGAGGGCACGUCUGCCUGGG